rnacentral:rRNA from 1 species
CCUACGGGGGACAGCAGUGGGGGAUAUUACACAAUGGGGGGAACCCUGAUGCAGCGACGCCGCGUGGGUGAAGGAGUGCUUCGGCAUGUAAAGCCCUAUCGGCAGGGAAGAAGCAAGACGGUACCUGACUAAGAAGCCCCGGCUAACUACGUGCCAGCAGCCGCGGUAAUACGUAGGGGGCGAGCGUUAUCCGGAUUCACUGGGUGUAAAGGGAGCGUAGACGGCCAUGCAAGCCAGGGGUGAAAGCCCGGGGCCCAACCCCGGGACUGCCCUUGGAACUGCAUGGCUGGAGUGCGGGAGGGGCAGGCGGAAUUCCUGGUGUAGCGGUGAAAUGCGUAGAUAUCAGGAGGAACACCGGCGGCGAAGGCGGCCUGCUGGACUGCGACUGACGUUGAGGCUCGAAAGCGUGGGGAGUGAACAGGAUUAGAUACCCCAGUAGUC